UGGGGAAUAUUGCACAAUGGAGGGAACUCUGAUGCAGCGACGCCGCGUGAACGAAGAAGGCUUUCGAGUCGUAAAGUUCUUUUAUAUGGGAAGAUAAUGACGGUACCAUAAGAAAAAGCCCCGGCCAACUACGUGCCAGCAGCCGCGGUAAUACGUAGGGGGCUAGCGUUGUCCGGAAUCACUGGGCGUAAAGGGUUCGCAGGCGGAAAUGCAAGUCAGGUGUAAAAGGCAGUAGCUUAACUACUGUAAGCAUUUGAAACUGCAUAUCUUGAGAAGAGUAGAGGUAAAUGGAAUUUUUAGUGUAGCGGUGAAAUGCGUAGAUAUUAAAAAGAAUACCGGUGGCGAAGGCGACUUACUGGGCUCAUUCUGACGCUGAGGAACGAAAGCGUGGGUAGCAAACAGG
rnacentral:rRNA from 1 species